rnacentral:rRNA from 1 species
UACGUAGGGGGCAAGCGUUGUUCGGAAUUACUGGGCGUAAAGGGCGCGUAGGCGGCAUGGCAAGUCGGGAGUGAAAGCCCGGGGCUCAACCCCGGAGCGGCUUUCGAAACUGCCAAGCUAGAGUACGGAAGGGGCAACUGGAAUUCCCAGUGUAGCGGUGAAAUGCGUAGAUAUUGGGAAGAACACCGGAGGCGAAGGCGGGUUGCUGGGCCGAUACUGACGCUGAGGCGCGAAAGCCAGGGGAGCAAACGGG